rnacentral:rRNA from 1 species
ACUCCUGCCGAUGGAUAUCUUGGCUCUCGCAUCGAUGAAGAACGCAGCGAAAUGCGAUACGUAGUGCGAAUUGCAGAAUUCAGUGAAUCAUCGAACCUUUGAACGCAAAUGGCGCAUCCGGGCUCCGCUCGGACGCAUGUCUCUUCGAGGGGCGCCUCCAUCCUCCUCGGAGCGAGAGAGCUCUCUCUCUCGUCUCCGGAGCCGGCGGCCGCGCGGGGGAGCCUCGGCCCCCUCGCGCGCCCGCCCAAGGCUGCCUUGCGAGCGCGGCGGCGGCGUCUAACCCGCGUCCCCGCCGGAGUGCUAAGUCCACGACUAGACCUCCGGCGGACGCGUGCCCCGUUCUGCCUCGCGACCCCCGGCGUGCGNNNNNNNNNNNNNNNNNNNNNNNNNNNNNNNNNNNNNNNNNNNNNNNNNNNNNNNNNNNNNNNNNNNNNNNNNNNNNNNNNNNNNNNNNNNNNNNNNNNNNNNNNNNNNNNNNNNNNNNNNNNNNNNNNNNNNNNNNNNNNNNNNNNNNNNNNNNNNNNNNNNNNNNNNNNNNNNNNNNNNNNNNNNNNNNNNNNNNNNNNNNNNNNNNNNNNNNNNNNNNNNNNNNNNNNNNNNNNNNNNNNNNNNNNNNNNNNNNNNNNNNNNNNNNNNNNNNNNNNNNNNNNNNUCUUCCAUGAAUGAGCUUCACAUAUGUAACUCGGCUACGGCUCAAGUCCCUUGGAACAGGGUGUCGGAGAGGGUGAGAAUCCCGUACCGUGGCGGGUUGCGGCCUUACGAUGCGUCCUCGUCGAGUCGGGUUGCUUGGGAUUGCAGCUUGAAUUGGGUGGUAAAUUCCAUCUAAAGCUAAAUACUGGCGAGAGACCGAUAGCGAACAAGUACCGUGAGGGAAAGAUGCAAAGAACUUUGAAAAGAGAGUCAAAGAGUGCUUGAAAUCGGUAGGAGGAAACCCGGAUGGGCCCGGCUUCGGCGCGCCGACUCAGCCUGGGGUUCUCCCCAGGUGCACUUCUGCGCGCCGGGUCAGCCGCGCCUCGGCGCCGCGCCUCAACCCGGGAGCGGGGCUUUACGGCCAGCUCCCGUCCUGGCGCGGCCCGGGGCCCGGCUGACGGAACGGGCCCCUCCGACCCGUCUAGAAACACGGACCAAGGAGUCUGACACGUGUGCGAGUACCCGGGUGGCAAGCCCGCGUGCGGAAUGAAAGUGAAGGGCAUGCCCUGCCAACCGACCUUGACCUGCUGUGAGGGGUUUGAGUGGAGCACACCUGUCGGGACCCGAAAGAUGGUGAACUAUGCCUGGGUAGGGUGAAGCCAGAGGAAACUCUGGUGGAGGCUCGUAGCGAUACUGACGUGCAAAUCGUUCGUCGAAUCUGGGUAUAGGGGCGAAAGACUAAUCGAACCAUCUAGUAGCUGGUUCCCUCCGAAGUUUCCCUCAGGAUAGCUUGAACGCAACGGUUUUGUCAGGUAAAGCGAAUGAUUAGAGGCCUGUGGGCUGAAACAGCUUGCACCUAUUCUCAAACUUUAAAUGGGCAAGAGGCCCGGGAUGCUUGAGUGAUCCCGGGCGGCGAACGGCGCGUUCAAAGUGGGCCAUUUUUGGUAAGCAGAACUGGCGAUGCGGGAUGAACCGAACGCCGCGCUAAGGUACCCAAGUGUCCGCUCAUCAGAUACCACAAAAGGCGUUGGUACCUCCAGACAGCAGGACGGUGGCCAUGGAAGUCGGAACCCGCUAAGGAGUGUGUAACAACUCACCUGCCGAAGGUACUAGCCCUGAAAAUGGAUGGCGCUCAAGCGGACCACCGAUGCGCGGCCGCCGGCGCGAGCGCGAGGCGCCGGCGAGUAGGAGGGCGCGGGGCUCGCGGCGCAGCCUUGGGCGCGAGCCUGGGUGAAGCGGGCCCCGGUGCAGAUCUUGGUGGUAGUAGCAAAUAUUCAAAUGAGAACUUUGAAGACUGAAGUGGAGAAAGGUUCCGUGUGAACAGCAGUUGGACACGGGUGAGCCGACCCUAAGAGACAGGAAAACUCCGCCGAACGCGGCUGGUUCUGUCAGCCCGUCCGUCGAAAGGGAAUCGGGUUAAUAUUCCCGAGCCAGCGCGUGGAUGGUGGGCGGCGACGCGAACGAACCCGGAGACGCCGGCGGGAGCCCUGGGAAGAGUUCUCUUUUCUUCUUAACUGCCUCCUGCCCUGGAAUCGGUUUAGCCGGAGCGAGGGCUACACGGCAGGCAAAGCACCCUAAGUCUUGGGGUGUCCGGCGCGCUCCCGACGGCCCGUGAAAAUCCGGGGGAGCGGUUCGUUCUCACGCCUGGUCGUACUCAUAACCGCAUCAGGUCUCCAAGGUGAACAGCCUCUAGUCGAUAGAGCAAUGUAGGUAAGGGAAGUCGGCAAAAUGGUUCCGCAACCUCGGGAGAAGGAAUGGCUCUGAAGGCUGGGCGCAGGGGUCCUAGGCUCGAGGCCGGCUGGCUGCGCGGGGACUACGGCCUCACGGCUGCGGAUCCCGCGCGGCCGUCCGGCGGACGGCCUAGGAGCGCUCCGGCUCUCCCUGCGCGACGAACAGCCGCUUCAGAACUGGCGCGGACAAGGGGAAUCCGACUGUUUAAUUAAAACAAAGCAUUGCGAUGGCCCGCGAGGGUGCUGACGCAAUGUGAUUUCUGCCCAGUGCUCUGAAUGUCAAAGUGAAGAAAUUCAACCAAGCGCGGGUAAACGGCGGGAGUAACUAUGACUCUCUUAAGGUAGCCAAAUGCCUCGUCAUCCAAUUAGUGACGCGCAUGAAUGGAUUCGUGAGAUUCCCACUGUCCCUAUCUACUGUCUAGCGAAACCACAGCCAAGGGAACGGGCUUGGAAGAAUCAGCGGGGAAAGAAGACCCUGUUGAGCUUGACUCUAGUCUGUUACUGUGGAACGACUUGAUGGGUGUAGAAUAUGCGGGAGGGGCAACCCGACAGUGAAAUACCGCAACCGUCAACGUUGUUUUACUUACUCGGUGGCGCGGAGGGAGGCUCGCCUCACUUCUGGAUCCAAGCCGCUUCGUGCGCGCGAUCCGCGUCGGGGACACUAACAGGUGGGGAGUUUGGCUGGGGCGGCACGUCUGUUAAAAAAUAACGCAGGCGCCCGAUUUUGAGCUCAAUGAGAACAGAAAUCUCAUGUGGACCGAAAGGGGAAAAGCUCGGUUGAUUUUGAUUUUCAGUACGAAUACAAACCGCGAAAGCGUGGCCUAUCGAUCCUCUCGUCUUUGGGAAUUUCAAGCUAGAGGUGUCAGAAAAGUUACCACAGGGAUAACUGGCUUGUGGCUGCCAAGCGUUCAUAGCGACGUAGCUUUUUGAUCCUUCGAUGUCGGCUCUUCCUAUCACUGCCUCGCAGCGGGGGCCAAAUGCAGGAUUGUUCACCCACCAACAGGGAACGUGAGCUGGGUUUAGACCGUCGUGAGACAGGUUAGUUUUACCCUACUGCUGUCUGUUUUUCUACGGUAAUUUGGUUCAGUACGAGAGGAACCACCAAUUCGCAUCAUCGGUAUAGCCGCCGCCGGAAACGGCGAUGCGGCGAAGCUGCCAUGCGCCGGAUUAUAACUGAACGCCUCUAAGUUAGAAUCCAUGCCGGAAGGAAAGCCACCUACCGGCCCGGGGACGCCACGAGCAACGGUAGCACUGCCUGAGCCGCGAGCGACCACAAUUCACGGACCCGGGCCGACGAAUCCCUUGCAGACGACUUGAAUAAGGAACGGGGUAUUGUACGCGGCAGAGUGGCCUUGUUGCCACGAUCCGCUGAGAUUCAGCCUUGGUUCUGACGAUUUGUUGCGCGCGCGCAACAACCCUCAGGGCCUCUCCCGUUCCUCAGUCGCUCUCUCGGCGCUCUCCCCCUCUCGCCUCUCCUCCGAGCCUCACUCGCUCGGGGGCGGAGCCGAGGGGGCGAGAGCGCGAUUUCUGCCCAAGGCAGCGCGCAGGCCACUGCGCAAACACACCCGGCUCUCCCCAAGCCGCCAUUGGGCGCUCCCGCGGUCCCCUCCGGGCUGAAUGCGGCCUCCGGAGCGGGGCAGCUGCCACCUCUGCGCGUCCUGGGGAUGUACCUUUGUCGCGCGCCAGAGACGACUCGACGCCGCUGAGAUCGGAGAUCAAGCUCUGACAGGUCGCACGUCGCUCCUUUGACGCCGACGUGACUCACCCGUGCAGAUCACAUCAGGACACGGUCUCGACGCGCUCGGUACGACGCCUGCGACCCGUCUCGGGUCAGGUGGCACGACGCUCAUCGCGCCUACCAGCGCUGCCGUGCAGGUUGCCACGACGAGGUCGAGCACGCUUCUAUACGCUCGCCGAGCCUUCCUUUCCAUCCCAUUUGGCAGCCUGGGAACGGUGGCGGUCAGAGGCAAAGCAUACGAGGGGUGGUGGAACCACAUGUCACGGCUACUGCCGGCUCGACCCCACGAUAGCCUCCGGAGGCUGACUUUGAGGCACAAUCAUCGGACGACGUCGGCGAGUUGAGUCGCGCUCGCGGUAGCCAGAUGACCUCUCAUACUAGUAUCAUCGGCCAUGGCCGCAGGAAGCGCGGGGGAGGGCGCUGGGAGCAACACGGAGCUCCGUUGGACGUUUUCAAGAUUAGCGUGUCAGAGUGAAAUGGAACUAGCCAGUGGCAAGCGAGUCGACGCUCGACCAGGCGAUGCACUAGCCACUAGCACUACAGAAGAGCGCAGUGGGUGCUUCGGAACGCAAAGAAGAGCGUGGAGAAAGCUAUGAGUAGACUUAGACGCUCAAGGCACCGACAUGUACCUUUUUGCGCAAAUGGUCAAAUCAAGGUUUUGUAACGCGAGCUGUGCCACAGUGAAAUGGAACUAGCCACUGUCAUUUCCAACAUUUGAUUGCCCCCGCCCUCUCUCGCGCCACAGCCGCCACCGCGCCGGCCAUCUCUCUCACUGCGAUGUGGCCGCGCCCACCGCCCUGUCACCACCGUUAGAGCUGUCAAACGUUAAGAGCUGAACAGUGUUGCUAGUGUUAACAGUAACAACAGAACAACAGUUGGGCUCCCCAACAACAGUAGCUAACGUUAGGCCGGCUGAACAACAAUAAGGAAGGCCUGGCAGUGACCCACGACGAUCUCCAGCGUCCAGUGCGGGUAAUACCCGAAAAUACCUGGAAAAUCCCGGGUAUUCUGCUUGCUGGCCGCUGAACAACAGUAACAACAGUAACAAACAGUAACAGCAUGGGCUGGGAUGAACACUUGAACAACGUUAAGGAUUUCAGCCAACAAUAGUGCAACUGUUAGGCCCAAAGUUAACGUUUGACAGCUCUAACCACCGUUACCGUUACCUCCACCGCCCUCGCCACCGCCCUCACCCCCUCAUGCCGCCGCUACCAUUCCGGCCACCCUCGCCGCUCCCACCCUCAUGGCCUCAUCCCGUCGCCUCCCCCUCGCCUUCGCCGCUACUUGCUCGUAUUUUAGGUGCGUCCACGCCCACCCGUGACGAAAAACGAAGAAGCACCAAACGCCCACCCGUGACGAAAAACGAAGAAGCACCAAACGCCAAGCGUGAGGACGCGAUUUCAUAUAAGGGUCAAAGCAGGUUUCGAACUGGCCAAGCGUGAGGACGACCGAGGGAAUUAGACACAACAGAUACACAUACAAGAGACGCCCGAAGUGCCAAGAAGGACGUCAUUAGUACGAAACCUCAGAAGGCCAUGGGCGCCGAGAGAACAUUCCCCCGAGAGGAAAAAAGAAAAAGAAAAAAGUCGACGCACCCCCUCCUUGCGCAGUGUCCCUCGCUAUGUGUCGCCGCUAUCGGGGCACGCUAUCCUGCGUAGGCAGGGCAAGCGGGGGCGGGGGGCACUCCCCCUGGUCUGAUACUGGGGUGUGACUGUCUCCAGUCUCGGAGGGGGGCAAGAAGGUAAGAAUAUCUAAUUUUUUAUUUUUAGGUGCGUCCACGCCUCGCACACCACCUUCCGGCAUGGCCCGAGACGCUUGGUUUCGUCCUCGUCUCCUCGCCCCUGCCCCGCCCCCCUUCAGGCGAGGCCCUGGCGACUCAGCUCGUGCUAUGGUCACCGGGUGGGCAGCUGCGCCACGCUCUCUUCGAGAGCGAUCGGCGGCGGCGGCUCGUUUUCCGCACGCGUACGGCGGCCUGCUGCCGGCGCGGCACUUCGGGAAUUUAUUUUUGAGUACUUGUGUAAACUUGUGGGGCUGGUAUGUUGUUUUUCGGGGGAGUUCGGGGCGGCGGAGUAUUUUUGUGUGUGCGCGGGGGGGUGCGGUCGUUCCUCCUCGAUCAGCCUCCCGCUCCCCUCCCUCUCGUCCACGAUUCUCUUGAGGAUGGACGCCUCCGACUCAAGCCGCUCCACCUUUGCCACCUCGAGCCGCCGCUGAAAGUUCCAUCCACCUGCUUGAGUCAAUGUUUCCUCUUGAGCAGCAGCCUCGCCUAGCACGUGGCAAACAGAAGGGGCUAGCUCAGCGAGGGCCUUCUAGGCGGCCCGCGGGUAGUCUCACCCCAUCCCCAGGGCCUCCAGGGCUCGCACCUCAACCUCUCACAGACCAGCGCAUAGCGGUGUGCAAGGCAUUAUCUUUUCUUUCCUGUCGAACCUGUGUGCUAAAAGAAAGAAAGAAAACGUGAAUUCAGAAUGCAGGCCAUCGCUCCCUUCUGCCCGUGCCUCGGCGCUGGCGACGACAACGCUGGCAUGGAGCUAAAGCCCAUGAAGGCGGCGAACAGUGAUGACGAGGCGGCGGCGGCCGGCAGCAGCAGCAACCUUCCAACCUCCGGCCUGCUCGGGAUGGCCCUUCGGCCGGUGGCAAAUUUCCAGCAGGCGCGUGCUGCCGGCUGCACCACCACCGCACGCUCUCUCCGCACUCAUCCCACAUUCACCGCUCAGCUGAGGCCGUGUGUCCGGUGGCCGUGGCAUGCUGAGCCCGCCGCCCGCCCCGCCGCAGCGGCGCGCCGAGGACGCGGCGCGGAGGGAUCGCGCGGCCGCGCUGAUGGAGGGGUGCGACAUGAAGCUGCUCACCGCCAAGGGACCGGUGCCUGUGCGGCUCGCUCUCUCUCGCGACUCUGCGAUGCUCACGUACCAGUCGCUGGGCGGCGCGACCGAGUCGGGCGUCAUCUCGCUCGCCAUCGUGCGGGAGGUCAAGCCCGUGGUGGCGGGCGGCAUCCUCCGCUCCCAGACGCCGGUGAUACAUGCGUAGCAAUAUCAAUAGCUCUCCGCUCCCAGACGCCGGUGCCGUGCGCGCGGUCUUGC